CGCAGAUUAGGAGCUCCAGAAGAUGGGAAAUUCUGGAACCAUAACUAGUGGGAACUGUUUGUUACAAGGGCCCUCGAGGGCCCCUUUGUGUGACUAAAUUUGGCGAGCCCAGGGCUCCGCGCCAGGCUUUCCACGUGUGCUUCCCCAGCUCCCAGCUGAGAAGGCCAAGGGUCCUCUUCCGGUUUCAGUUCAGUACCUGUCACAGCCUCUGUUG